CACACAGCAUUUACUUCAGUUUGGUGGCCUUUCUCCCUAUAUAUCAUAAGAAAAACACACAAAAAAACUCAAUUCAAAUCCCCUUUUUUUUCUUUGUUAUUGCACGGAAGAGUCCGUUAAGCUCAGGAGGGAUAGCGCCGUGUCGAUCAAUCGACAUUGUUGCAUUAGCUCCCCCGACAUCGUCGUAUUCUUUUCGGGCGCUAUCCAUCCUGAGUUUCCCGGCUUCUUCUUGCUUUUUUUUAGUUGUUGCCGGUCAUGGAAGGGAAAAUGCGCAUCGUAUUGUUCUUUCGUAUCAUCAUCAUUUGUUGCUUUGGAUGUAAAUUAGAUGUUAUGAAGCUUUUUGAGAAUUCUCGAUGCAUCUAAGUACGUGUGCUGGAAGAACUUGUAUUGAGAUGUGGAGAUAAUGUUCACUCU